CAUAAAUAUACAUUGUACAUUUAUUUAAAUGGAAGUCUCUCUCUACACAGUAUCGCCAUUUAUUCCGAAGUCAUUUAAUGAUUUAUUCAUUUUGGAAAAUAUUUCGGACAUAUAUAAGAGGGUUUGUAUAGAAAGAAGAGUUAUAUAGCUAAAAUACAGCUUAAUAUAUAAAACAUUAUGAAAAAUGAAUCAAAGUCCUUAGAUGUUCUCUCUAUUCACAUUCUUUUCCUCCUCUGCAGAGGUAGCCAGCCUCUGGAAUCUGGUGAAUAUUCUCAUUCAUUUCUUUGAUUGUUAAUAUUUAUCUUUACCCACCCAAACAAUAUAUAGAAUUGUUGUUGUUCAGUUAGUAUAAUUCAGUUAUACAAGAUGCAUACAUUCUAGAGAUCUAAUGUAUAACAUAGAGCCUGUAGGUAACAAUAAUGUUUUGUGUAACCAAACAUUUGUUAAGAGGGUAAAUAUCAUGUUGUGGUCUAAGAAAGAAAGAAAGAAAGAAAAAAGGAAAGAAAGAAGAAAGGAAAGAAGGAAGGAAGAAGAAAGAAAGAAAAAAAGAAUAAAGGAAAGAAGGAAGAAAGAAAGAAAGAAAAUAGGAAAAGAAAGAGACAAAGGAAAGGGAAGGCAAGGGAAGGGAAGGGGAGGGAAAGGAAGGGAAGGGGAGGGGAGGGAAGGGAAAGGGAGGGGAGGAGAGGGAAGGGAAGGAGACACCAGAAAACUUUGGAUUGAGGCGAUAGUUUCAUAGGUGUAGGCAUAUGUCCUAACUUAUUAAAAUGUAUACAUUAAGUUUUAACUCAAUAAAGCUGUUAGAAAACCUUAUAUAAAUGAUAUCACAUUUCAUGAAUUAGUCUGCAACUUGAUAUUUUUCACUCAACAUUUUAAUUUUGGGGCAUAUAUGCCCCAGGUUGGUAUGUUUAACACUCUUUCUUUCUACUUCACUUUCAUUGUCCCAUAAUUUUCUGUGACUUAAUGAUGCAAGUCCACUUAUUGUUCUCAUUAGAAUCCUAUGAUUUUAAAAAUCAGGGUCUUCAUUGUAGUCAUGGUUUUCUUUAUACUAGUUUCCUUAUCAGAAUGCAUGCUGCACUAGUGGAGAUUAAUGAAUUGUAACUAUUUUCUUUUUAAGAAAUUUACCUCAGAAGAGAGGAAGCCCUAAGUAAAUUUUAUUUUCCUCUAUCCCUAUCUGCACUUUCAACCUUGAAUGUGUUAACCUAUGCAAAAUACUUGGAAGGGAACCUGGCAGAGGGUAAGUGCUAAAGAAGCAUCAUCUGAAGGAUGCUGGAGCAUUAGGAUAAGGAGCCAGACUGUCUGGCUUUGAAUCUCCACCGUGCUGCUUAAUACCUGUGUGGCUUUGGGCAAGUUACUCAGCCUUUCUGUGCCUCAGGUCCCUCGUUUGUAAAAUGAGGGUAUAACAACAGUCCCUACCUCACAGGGUAUUUUGGAGGAUUAAAUGUGUAAAUGAAAACAUGCAGAGAACAUAGAACGCACCCAGCCAAUAGUAAGUGGUUGUGUUUGUUAUUUCAGGUUCCUUGGGCACUUGCUCUGGACCUCGUGCUCUUUGGACCCUGCAUUCUCUGCUGUCUUGGAACUUGGAUACACCAAUUCUUGCCAAGACUAUGAGCUGUGGGAAGCUGGGACCACUUGAUUGAGCAGCUAGCACAAACCAAAAGGACAUUGCUAUAACUCAAUUUAGAUGGCAGCAUUAUAUUGGGACAAAGCGUCCAAGAAGUUCCAGUCUUGCAAGGGCAAGAUUCCAUAAGAAAAAGAUAAGAUAUGGAAAGAAGAGAGAAAUAAUGAAAAUUGAUACCAUAACUAUGUUCUGAAGGGGGCAAUAAAAUUUAAAAUGGAGCACUGGGGAAAGCAGUCUGGCUGAGGCCCAAAUUGUCAGGAAAAGCCUUUAGAAAACCAAAGGAUUCAGAUGGGAUGAUGGGUCAAGUCUUAUUUAAUAUCCCAAUGUGUAUUAGUCCAGUGGGCAGUAGAAAGUUAAAGAAUCUGUAUAUUUAGACAGAAAAUCCCAUGAUCAAGCACCCACAAGUUAACUACCUUCGCUUUUAAGUGGGUACCUUUGUACCCUGCAAUGUGAUGUGGGAUGCCAAGUCAGUAGGUCACACAUUCUGUAAGCACUUGGGCAAUGGUGCUGGCUGAGGUCAUGCAGGCAAGGAAGGCAAACCCAUAUUGGGAAUACGUGUUGAUUUCAGUCAAGAUAAAUGGCUACAUUUCUGAGAAUGAAAGGAGUCGAAUGUAAUCAACUUGGCACCAAGCUGGUCUGGAGAGUUGGUGCCAUACUGGAGGCUCAGCAUUGGUUUCGAUUGCUGGAAGGUUUGGACUUUUGGCAGAAGUGGUAUUUAAUCAGCUGUGGCGGGUGGGAUCCCACGCAAUCAGGCUCAUGCUUCCAACUCUGCUGCCGUGGUGAUACUGUUCAUGUGCCCACUGUGCCAAGAAUAGGUGGUCUAGGACAAGGUUGCUGAUGUUCAUUGGAAGUCAUUCUAUCUACUUCUUUAUUAAUUAAUUUCAUAAAAAGAUGUAUGUGAAAGACUUUUUCACAUACAUUGUGUCCCCCAAUCCCUCUGAAUAAGUGUUCUCUCUUUAAACUAACACAAAUAUUUUAAUUUUCCCUUUAAGAGAUCCUUCAUCUGCCUCUGAAAAACAUAGGCAGGAUCAAAUUUUGUUACCUGCAUGUUGGAUAACAUGCAGUGCUUGUCCCCACUCCCCUUCCCAGACCUCAUUGUCUUCAAUUUUGUUAUUUAUUCUUUAUGCCAUAUUUAUUCUUGCCUUAAGCUUCUUCUCUUUCCACAAAAAGUGGAUGACCAGGUAGACAAUCUGAAGCCCUAUUUAUUGGGAGGAUUUCCUUCCCCACUUACAUUCAGGGCCACCUGUUUUUGGUGUACAAUCACUUAUUGAACCCGUCAGUCUGUGGAAACAAGCUUGGCCAUUUUUUCCUCCUCCAUUAGUUGAUCAUAAUGGACUUCCCAUGAAGCAGCAGGUGCAAGCUGGGGGAAAAGGUGCUGGAGGGAAGGUGAGGGCACCUGCUUUACAGCCUACUUGCUGUUCCACCAGCAGCUGAUCCCAGGUGUACCAUUUCCAUUGUAUGGGAUACUGUGGGCCCACCCAGCCUUGUGAUUUGGCAGAUCUGGUGGGACUCAGCUUGUGAUGGACCAAUAAGUCAACUCUCUCACAUCUUUUCUGUGGGAGAAGAGUCCCCUAAUUCACUUGUUAUUAGGCUCUCUGUUAUUAGCAGCUGAACAUAAUUUCUAACUGACAAAAACCUGACGUUUUACCACAUGCUCCUCAA